rnacentral:rRNA from 1 species
CCUACGGGGGGCAGCAGUGAGGAAUAUUGGUCAAUGGACGCAAGUCUGAACCAGCCAUGCCGCGUGCAGGAAGACGGCUCUAUGAGUUGUAAACUGCUUUUGUACGAGGGUAAACGCAGAUACGCGUAUCUGUCUGAAAGUAUCGUACGAAUAAGGAUCGGCUAACUACGUGCCAGCAGCCGCGGUAAUACGUAGGGUGCGAGCGUUAAUCGGAAUUACUGGGCGUAAAGGGUGUGCAGGCGGUUUUGCAAGCUGGAUGUGAAAGCGCCGGGCUUAACCUGGGAAAGCCAUACAUGACUGGAAGACUAGAGUGCGACAGAGGGGUGUGGAAUGCGAAGUGUAGCAGUGAAAUGCGUAGAUAUUUGGAAGAACACCGAUUGCGAAGGCAGCACCCUGGGACGCAACUGACGCUCAGGCACGAAAGCGUGGGGAGCGAACAGGAUUAGAUACCCGUGUAGUC